CAGAUAAAAGGGUGCUCUCCUAUCUUUUUCUUAGGAAAAAGGCACAUACCAAGGGGUAGCAACUAUUUAUUAAAAACACAGGACUCUGCUAAGUGGUAACACGAUGUAUAGAGUCUAACACCUGCCCUGUGCUGGAAGGUCAAAAGGAGAAGUGUGAUAAGCUUUGAAUGGAAGGCCC
rnacentral:ncRNA from 1 species